rnacentral:rRNA from 1 species
AUUGAACGCUGGCGGCAUGCCUUACACAUGCAAGUCGAACGGUAACAGGUCUUCGGAUGCUGACGAGUGGCGAACGGGUGAGUAAUACAUCGGAACGUGCCUAGUAGUGGGGGAUAACUACUCGAAAGAGUGGCUAAUACCGCAUGAGAUCUACGGAUGAAAGCAGGGGAUCGCAAGACCUUGUGCUACUAGAGCGGCCGAUGGCAGAUUAGGUAGUUGGUGGGAUAAAAGCUUACCAAGCCGACGACCUGUAGCUGGUCUGAGAGGACGAGCAGCCACACUGGGACUGAGACCCGGCCCAGACUCCGACGGGAGGCAGCAGUGGGGAAUUUUGGACAAUGGGCGCAAGCCUGAUCCAGCAAUGCCGCGUGCAGGAUGAAGGCCUUCGGGUUGUAAACUGCUUUUGUACGGAACGAAAAGCCCUGGGUUAAUACCCUGGGGUCAUGACGGUACCGUAAGAAUAAGCACCGGCUAACUACGUGCCAGCCGCCGCGGUAAUAC